AUGAACGCUGGCGGCGUGCCUAAUACCUGCAAGUCGAGCGAACAGACGAGGAGCUUGCUCCUCUGACGUUAGCGGCGGACGGGUGAGUAACACGUGGAUAACCUACCUAUAAGACUGGGAUAACUUCGGGAAACCGGAGCUAAUACCGGAUAAUAUAUUGAACCGCAUGGUUCAAUAGUGAAAGACGGUUUUGCUGUCACUUAUAGAUGGAUCCGCGCCGCAUUAGCUAGUUGGUAAGGUAACGGCUUACCAAGGCAACGAUGCGUAGCCGACCUGAGAGGGUGAUCGGCCACACUGGAACUGAGACACGGUCCAGACUCCUACGGGAGGCAGCAGUAGGGAAUCUGCCGCAAAGGGCGAAAGCCUGACGGAGCAACGCCGCGUGAGUGAUGAAGGUCUUCGGAUCGUAAAACUCUGUUAUUAGGGAAGAACAAAUGUGUAAGUAACUAUGCACGUCUUGACGGUACCUAAUCAGAAAGCCACGGCUAACUACGUG
rnacentral:rRNA from 1 species